rnacentral:rRNA from 1 species
AGGGAAUCUUCCACAAUGGACACAAGUCUGAUGGAGCAACGCCGCGUGAGUGAAGAAGGCUUUCGGGUCGUAAAACUCUGUUAUUGAAGAAGAACGUGUGUGACAGUAACUGGUCAUGCAGUGACGGUAUUCAAUCAGAAAGUCACGGCUAACUACGUGCCAGCAGCCGCGGUAAUACGUAGGUGGCAAGCGUUGUCCGGAUUUAUUGGGUGUAAAGCGAGUGCAGGCGGUCUUUUAAGUCUGAUGUGAAAGCCUUCGGCUUAACCGAAGAAGGGCAUCGGAAACUG